rnacentral:rRNA from 1 species
ACGAACGCUGGCGGCGUGCUUAACACAUGCAAGUCGAACGAUGAACCACUUCGGUGGGGAUUAGUGGCGAACGGGUGAGUAACACGUGGGCAAUCUGCCCUUCACUCUGGGACAAGCCCUGGAAACGGGGUCUAAUACCGGAUAACACUCCUGCCUGCAUGGGYGGGGGUUAAAAGCUCCGGCGGUGAAGGAUGAGCCCGCGGCCUAUCAGCUUGUUGGUGAGGUAGUGGCUCACCAAGGCGACGACGGGUAGCCG